rnacentral:lncRNA from 1 species
GUACACAGUUGUAUAUCUUAGUUGCAUGUCCUUCUAGUUGUGGGAUGUGGGAUGCCGCCUCAAUGUGGCCUGACGAGCAGUGCCACGUCCGCGCCCGUGAUCCGACCCCGGGGCCGCCCGCAGCGGAGCGCGAGAACUUAACCACUUGGCCACGGAGCCGGGCCCUGUAAGGACCUCACAAGGACCAGGUGAAAAAGAUUUACAAUCAGCCAAGGUGGAAGGUCUAAUAAGAGCUUCUCCCCCAUCAAGACAAGACUUGGAAAGGGAAUACACCUCAGUGUCAAGUGAACUAGAUAUAACUUCCGCACCUGGGACUGCAAUAAAAACUACCUGAAACACUAUUCCUGAGCCUGGCGGAGGUUGGUCGUUGGAGCUGAUGAGGAGACAGAUAGCACCUUAGCUACAGAGAAGAAGAAAGAAGUGCUUUCAGGUGACAUUUCGUUUUGGAAAGAGUCUGGAAAUAUAGAAGUCUGAUGGUUUUUCUGAGCAACGCUAAGCAGAAUUGCUUUCACCACGUUAUCUUUUCUUAAACCAACUUAGUCCAGUAGGAGUUAGGAUACCGGAGUUUGCUUCUGGUUAUGUCCCUGACGCUUACAAGUCACCAACUUAUUCUUACUUACAGUUACUCCAUGUAUGCAAGUAAAAAACAGAUCUGCCCAUCAAUCAAAGGGGAUUUCUGAGCCAUUGUUGACCUGAGACCAGGGUGUUUCAACCUCCACUUUGGAGAGAAUGUUCACAUGUUCAGUUCCAGGCCUUAGCUAAAAGGCAAGAAAUGCAGACUGCUCUACUCAGGAGAGAACUCACGUAUUCAAAGAGGACAGCUGGAGGCACACGCCAAAUUCAAAGUGGGACCCUAAAUGGACAAAAGGCUUUGAACAUCUUUAAAGCUUUGGAUACACAAUGAUGAAGUGUUGGAUUUUGACAGGCCCCAAUAAGUAGUACCCUUCGUUAUGGCCAAUAUCUAAAGCAAUAGAGAUAUAAAACAAGGAAGAAGACAAAUGGAGACCAAAAUAUCACUGUUACCACUGAUAAAUCUGAUAUUAGAGAACAUGCUUAUAUCUUCAGGAAAAUAUGCUUCUUAUAAUGAUCUCUUCAAUUAAACCCAAGAGAGGCCUCUCCUUCACACCAGGAGGACUGGAGUAGAACGUGGGCUCCAGGUGAAUGGUUUGAUUCACAAGGAAGAAAAAGGAACAGGGAUGGUUUGUGCAUGCCCAAUUUAUCCUUUGAAACUCUCCUAUCAGCUUGUUGACUUUCUGAGUUGUUAUUGAGAGUUUCAACCACAACCUGACUGUCACUGGAGAGGAGAAGAUGAGAAAAGGAUUUAAUAAAGGUAGCAUGGGAAGAAGGAGGGAGAAGAGGAGUGGAAAGAUAAGGAGGAGAGAAAAACAUGCCCACCGGCCCAUGGCUAACAGGACCACAGGUGGCCACCUGACACGUGGUGAUCCAGUCAGUUUUUCUUUCCAUGAAGAAUUUAGAAUGGGGAGUUAGAAAGAGAAGUGUUCUAGAUAUCCAUAGGAAAUUCCAAAAAUUGGCAACAGGGCCUGAUACCAGUUCUGCACAGUUAAUGGAGGCAGCCUUCAGGAUAGUCAAUAACCAGGACAAGGAAGAAGAGAAAAAGGAUGAUAAAAAGGUACAAAGACAAGCAACUUUGCUUCCAUUGGCCCUCCAGUCUGCUCAAGGUAACCCAGGGGAGAGGUGAGUGACCCG